GUGACGUUACCAAACUGUUGCCUCGGCGGGAUCUCUGCCCCGGGUGCGUCGCAGCCCCGGACCAAGGCGCCCGCCGGAGGACCAACCAAAACUCUUAUUGUAUACCCCCUCGCGGGUUUUUUUAUAAUCUGAGCCUUCUCGGCGCCUCUCGUAGGCGUUUCGAAAAUGAAUCAAAACUUUCAACAACGGAUCUCUUGGUUCUGGCAUCGAUGAAGAACGCAGCGAAAUGCGAUAAGUAAUGUGAAUUGCAGAAUUCAGUGAAUCAUCGAAUCUUUGAACGCACAUUGCGCCCGCCAGUAUUCUGGCGGGCAUGCCUGUCCGAGCGUCAUUUCAACCCUCGAACCCCUCCGGGGGGUCGGCGUUGGGGAUCGGCCCUGCCUUGGCGGUGGCCGUCUCCGAAAUACAGUGGCGGUCUCGCCGCAGCCUCUCCUGCGCAGUAGUUUGCACACUCGCAUCGGGAGCGCGGCGCGUCCACAGCCGUUAAACACCCAACUUCUGAAAUGUUGACCUCGGAUCAGGUAGGAAUACCCGCUGAACUUAAGC
rnacentral:rRNA from 1 species